rnacentral:rRNA from 1 species
GAUGAACGCUGGCGGCGUGCCUAAUACAUGCAAGUCGAGCGAACGGACGAGAGGCUUGCUUCUCUGAUGUUAGCGGCGGACGGGUGAGUAACACGUGGAUAACCUGCCUAUAAGACUGGGAUAACUUCGGAAAACCGGAGCUAAUACCGGAUAAUAUUUUGAACCGCAUGGUUCAAAAGUGAAAGACGGUCUUGCUGUCACUUAUAGAUGGAUCCGCGCUGCAUUAGCUAGUUGGUAAGGUAACGGCUUACCAAGGCAACGAUGCAUAGCCGACCUGAGAGGGUGAUCGGCCACACUGGAACUGAGACACGGUCCAGACUCCUACGGGAGGCAGCAGUAGGGAAUCUUCCGCAAUGGGCGAAAGCCUGACGGAGCAACGCCGCGUGAGUGAUGAAGGUCUUCGGAUCGUAAAACUCUGUUAUUAGGGAAGAACAUAUGUGUAAGUAACUGUGCACAUCUUGACGGUACCUAAUCAGAAAGCCACGGCUAACUACGUG